rnacentral:rRNA from 1 species
CGCCUCUUGCUAAAACCGAAGAAUAAGAGGUACUGCCUGCCCUGUGACCAUAGGUUUAACGGCCGCGGUAUUUUGACCGUGCGAAGGUAGCGCAAUCACUUGUCUUUUAAAUGGAGACCUGUAUGAAUGGCAAGACGAGGGCUUAACUGUCUCCUCCCCCCAGUCAAUGAAAUUGAUCUUCCCGUGCAGAAGCGGGAAUAUGAACAUAAGACGAGAAGACCCUAUGGAGCUUUAGACAUAAGGCAGCCCAUGUUAAACACCCCCUGAUAAGGCCUCUAAACAAAAUGGACCCUCCCCGAAUGUCUUUGGUUGGGGCGACCGCGGGGAGAUAAACAACCCCCACGUGGAAUGGGAGGACCCCUCCCAAAGCCGAGAGCGACAGCUCUAAGCAACAGAAUUUCUGACCAUUAUGAUCCGGUACUACCGAUCAACGGACCGAGUUACCCUAGGGAUAACAGCGCAAUCCCCUUUCAGAGUCCCUAUCGACAAGGGGGUUUACGACCUCGAUGUUGGAUCAGGACAUCCUAAUGGUGCAGCCGCUAUUAAGGGUUCGUUUGUUCAACGAUUAAAGUCCU